UCCCUAGUGGCUCAUAUGGUAAAGGGUCUGCCUGCCAUGCGGGAAAUCCAGGUUCGAUCCCUGGUUUGUGAA
rnacentral:tRNA from 1 species